ensembl:ncRNA F28A12.6 ncRNA
UUCGUUUUUCAUAUUGACACUAAACAAGUCUGUAAAAGUGCACAUGGUCAUAAAUCAGGCAAUCGGGCUAAACG